ensembl:lncRNA
UAAAGUUAAAGAUAUGAUGGUCGAGGGACUAGGAUCGAUGCAGCCACAAGGAAAGAAUCUGCCUUGGACCUCACUCUGGUAUCUAGUGAUGGCAGGAUUCUGUGAGUAGGAGGUAUGGGAGGAGUCGACAGUAGGGAGUGAUCACUACUAUGCACAGUAGGCUGGAGGGAGGAGGAGGUGUCAGUGGAUGGAGUAGGCAGGUGGGUGUUUGGAAGGGCAAAGUGGGAUCAGUUUCAGGAGCUGAUGAGUGAACAGGUGAUGGGUGGAUAUGAGAGGGGAUGUGGACAGUAUGAAUAACUGGGUGAGAACAGCAUUAGUGGGGGCAGCUACUGAGGCGAUACCUAAGAGUUCAGGUAGGAGGAGGAAGAAAGCAGUCCCAUGGUGGAAGGAGGAGUGUGGAGUAGGAACUGGGCAUUUAGAGUACUAAAAAGGACACAGAACCUCCAUCAGUCUGAUUCCGUAUCAGCAGGCCCUGGUGAGGAGAACUAUCCCUCAGUCUGAUUCCGUAUCAGCAGGCCCUGGUGAGGAGAAUUAUCCCUCAGUCUGAUUCAGUAUAAACAGGCCCUGGUGAGGAGAAUUAUCCAUCAGUCGUAUUCAGUAUCAACAGGCCCUGGUGAGGAGAACUAUCCAUCAGUCUGAUUCAGUAUCAACAGGCCCUGGUGAGGAGAACUAUCCCUCAGUCUGAUUCAGUAUCAGCAGGCCCUGGUGAGGAGAACUAUCCCUCAGUCUGAUUCAGUAUCAGCAGGCCCUGGUGAGGAGAACUAUCCCUCAGUCUGAUUCAGUAUCAGCAGGCCCAGGCCCUGGUGAGGAGAACUAUCCCUCAGUCUGAUUCAGUAUCAGCAGGCCCUGGUGAGGAGAACUAUCCCUCAGCCUGAUUCAGUAUAAACAGGCCCUGGUGAGGAGAACUAUCCCUCAGUCUGAUUCAGUAUCAGCAGGCCCUGGUGAGGAGAACUAUCCCUCAGCCUGAUUCAGUAUAAACAGGCCCUGGUGAGGAGAACUAUCCCUCAGUCUGAUUCAGUAUCAGCUGGCCCUGGUGAGGAGAACUAUCCCUCAGCCUGAUUCAGUAUAAACAGGCCCUGGUGAGGAGAACUAUCCCUCAGUCUGAUUCAGUAUCAGCUGGCCCUGGUGAGGAGAACUAUCCCUCAGUCUGAUUCAGUAUCAGCUGGCCCUGGUGAGGAGAACUAUCCCUCAGUCUGAUUCAGUAUCAGCAGGCCCUGGUGAGGAGAACUAUCCCUCAGUCUGAUUCAGUAUCAGCAGGCCCUAUUGAGGAGAACUAUCCUGCAGUCUGAUUCAGUAUAAACAGGCCCUAUUGAGGAGAACUAUCCCUCAGCCUGAUUCAGUAUAAACAGGCCCUGGUGAGGAGAACUAUCCCUCAGUCUGAUUCAGUAUAAACAGGCCCUGGUGAGGAGAACUAUCCCUCAGUCUGAUUCAGUAUCAGCAGGCCCUGGUGAGGAGAACUAUCCCUCAGUCUGAUUCAGUAUCAGCAGGCCCUGGUGAGGAGAACUAUCCCUCAGUCUGAUUCAGUAUCAACAGGCCCAGGCCCUGGUGAGGAGAACUAUCCCUCGGGCAAAGAGGUCAUGUUGGUGUCAUUUCUGUGACACCAUUGGAAGGGCGACACCUGUGGGAGAGGUGUGGGGGAUGCUUAAGAGGAUGAGUGGGGUUAGAAGCGAGUGGGAUUAUACAGUGUUGGCGAGUGGGAAGGAUGUGGCAGUAACAGAUGAGAAGGCAGAGAUGAUGGCGAAAGUGUUUGUCCAAGUGAAUAGCUCUGUAAAUUUGUCAGAGGAGGGGCAGAGGGGGAGAGAGAGAGCGAGAGAGGAGCUUCCUGGAGUGUUGGAUAGGAGGGAGGAUGUAAAUGAUACGUUGAAUGUGUCAUGGCUGAGGUCAAAAGGGCAAUAGGUACGGCUGGGUUAACUUCACCUGGGAAAGAUGAGGUGUGUUAUAUUAUGUUGGCCCAUCUUAGUGAUGAGGCACUGGAUAAGGUAUUGGUGUUGUACAACAGAGUGUGUGAGGAGGGGAAACUACCAGGUAGCUGGAAGAAGGCAGUAGUGGUACCAAUCCGGAAACCAGGAAAGGACCCAAUGAGGCCAACAAGCUAUCAGCCAAUAGCUUUAACAUCACAAGUAUGUAAGAUUAAGAACAAUGGACCCAGUGCUCUGAUUGGAAGGAGAGAUCAGGAAGAGGAGGGGAACUAUGGACCCAGUGCUCUGAUUGGAAGGAGAGGUCAGGAAGGGGAACUAUGGACACAGUGCUCUGAUUGGAAGCAGAGGUCAGGAAGGCUCAGGUGAACAAGGAGACUGUUGUAGCUGUAUUAUUUGAUGUGGAGAAGGUGUAUGAUGUGGAAGGAGGGGUCAGGAAGGCUCAGGUGAACAAGGAGACUGUUGUAGCUGUAUUAUUUGAUGUGGAGAAGGUGUAUGAUGUGGAAGGAGGGGUUGUUAAUCAAGGUGGAUAUUAUGGGGGUAGGAGGAAGAACACACCACUGGAUAAAGGACUUCCUGUUUGGAAGGUCUAUCCAGGUGAGGGUGGGGAAGUCUCUAUCACCCAGCUACCCUGUGGAUAACGAUACACCGCAGGGGAGCGUGAUUAGUCUUCUGUUGUUCUCAAUCGUGAUCAAUGAUGUUUACUCUCAUGUACGGACGGAUAUUGGGAGGUCGUUAUUUACAGAAGAUGGGGCCUUAUGGAAGAGGGGAAGAAAUGUGCCAUACAUAGUCAGGAAGGUACAGGAAGCAAUUGAUGAGGUAGAGUGGUGGGCAUUAAUGUGGGGAUUCAGGUUCUCUGUAGAGAAAACUCAGUUCUUUACCAGGAGGAAGGUGGGAGAUGAGGUAUGCUUGAGGUUAUAUGGGAGAAACUUGGAGAGGGUGGGGUCCUUCAGGUUCCUUGGGGUAAACUUUGACCCUAGACUGACCUGGGCAGAACACAUUGAGAGAGUGGUGGAAACGUGUAAGAAGGUGCUAAAUGUGAUGCGCUGUCUGACGGGGAAGGAGUGGGGGGCUGGACGUUCCUCAUUGAGGACCAUGUAUGUUGCACUGAUCCGGUCUGACAGGGAAGGAGUGGAGGGGGGGCUGGGCGUUCCUCAUUGAAGACCAUGUAUGUUGCAUUGAUCCAGUCUGACGGGGAAGGAGUAGGGAGCUGGGCAUUCCUCAUUGAGGACCAUGUAUGUUGCAUUGAUCCGGUCUGACGGGGAAGGAGUGGAGGGGCUGGGCGUUCCUCAUUGAGGACCAUGUAUGUUGCAUUGAUCCGGUCUGACGGGGAAGGAGUAGGGAGCUGGGCAUUCCUCACUGAGGACCAUGUAUGUUGCAUUGAUCCGGUCUGAUGGGGAAGGAGUGGGGGCUGGGCGUUCCUCAUUGAGGACCAUGUAUGUUGCAUUGAUCCGGUCUGACAGGGAAGGACUGGGGGCUGGGCGUUCCUCAUUGAGGACCAUGUAUGUUGCACUGAUCUGAUCUGUAAUAGACUGUGGCAGCAUAGCGUAUGGUUCAGCAUCCCGGACAUCAUUGGAAAGUCAUACAGGGGCAAGGACUCAGAAUAUGUAGUGGGGUGUUUCGGACCUCCCCAGUGACUGAACUACAGGUGGA